CCUAGUUCACCUGCUUCUCCACUUCCCCCUCCCUGCCUCCAAGCAUCCUGAAAGACCCUCUGGCCUUUCCCAGGACCUGGAUGUUAUCAAGGCCUCUUGGACCCUGAUCAUUGUUAUGUUCCAGUGAUUUGCUCUGCGGACCGCAUUUGCUGCUAAAGCCUGUCCUGUACAAGCCAGCCUAACCAAAAUUUCUAUGAGCACCGAUGCUCCCACAUUAACUGCAUCUUUGAGUCUGUUCAACACUCUCCCUCAAGAGCCCCUCUACAGAAUUUUACACAAAAGCACAGAUGCCUCCAAUCCAAAAGUGCAUCAUAAAUUCUUGCUGAGCGUGAGGUUUCUGGGCUUCGGUGUUUCGAGAGAGAAUGCUGAGUCAGAAUGAACAGCAGAAAAGGUCCCAGGCUCGUGCCUUAGUCUUCGCCCAAAGGUAGCAGAGCAACUUAUAAACGCUAAUUAAACUUGCUUUCCCACUCCCUAAUAAGGCGAGUGCUCUGUAUAUUUUAUGGAUGGGAAGACUGGGGACAAAGGAGAGAACCAGCCUUUGCCAGUCACAUAACUUGCAGGGUGAUGAAGGCUGCAAGAGGCUCCAUGGCAGAGCUGGGCUGGGCUGUGAGCCCCACGCAAACCAGCAGAGCUUGAUCUGUUUGGCCAGCGUCCUGGCUGCUGAAGCCUGCUUCUGCCAGGAUGGCAUUGAUAUUCGGCCAAGCUCAGGAUAAAUCCUCCUCUGACUCCAGUCUACAUUUAAGAGAAAGUCUGAUUUUCUAAAGAAAAAAGCACUAACAGCCCUCUGGGUCUGACCCAGCCUACCUUUGCUCCAUCUGUAAAGGGUCACCUGUUCUGGAGGUAUAGUCUGGGGGAUGGCUAUGAGGAGUUAAACCAAGACAGGGACCACAGUUGUGAUGAGGAUGGUCACAUGGAUAUCCCUCAUGUUAGCUGGUAUUUCUAAGCAUUUUUCUUUAGGCUAUGUACUUCACAGACUUUAUUUCAUUUACUUAGAACAAGCUCAGCAGGUAACUAUGGCAUCCUCACCAUCACACAAUACCUGAAAGCACAGGCUCCAGGAUCCAUUUGCCUGGAUUCAAAUCCUGAUGCCCCAAUUAGUAGCUGUGUGGCUUUGGGCAAGUGUCUCCAUCUCACCAUGCUUCUGUUUUAUCAGAGAUGGGGAUGAUGUAAUUGAAGUGCCCCCUUCCAAGCAUGGUGAAGCUCAAAUGAGUUAAUACAUGAGAAGUGGUCAGAACUGUGUCCGGCCAGUGGUCAUCCCUAAUACACUUCAGCCAUUACUACAGAGAGAACCCACAUUCAGGGAGUUAAACACCUGUUUGCUGUUCCCUCCCAUGCUCUUAGCCACAGUGUCAUAAAUGUGGAUGUGG
rnacentral:lncRNA from 1 species